rnacentral:rRNA from 1 species
AGUGAACGCUGGCGGUAGGCCUAACACAUGCAAGUCGAACGGCAGCACAGUAAGAGCUUGCUCUUACGGGUGGCGAGUGACGGACGGGUGAGGAAUACAUCGGAAUCUACUUUUUCGUGGGGGAUAACGUAGGGAAACUUACGCUAAUACCGCAUACGACCUACGGGUGAAAGCAGGGGAUCUUCGGACCUUGCGCGAUUGAAUGAGCCGAUGUCGGAUUAGCUAGUUGGCGGGGUAAAGGCCCACCAAGGCGACGAUCCGUAGCUGGUCUGAGAGGAUGAUCAGCCACACUGGAACUGAGACACGGUCCAGACUCCUACGGGAGGCAGCAGUGGGGAAUAUUGGACAAUGGGCGCAAGCCUGAUCCAGCCAUACCGCGUGGGUGAAGAAGGCCUUCGGGUUGUAAAGCCCUUUUGUUGGGAAAGAAAAGCAGCAGGUUAAUACCCCGCUGUUCUGACGGUACCCAAAGAAUAAGCACCGGCUAACUCCGUG